rnacentral:rRNA from 1 species
AAAUNAAGAUUUGAGAGAGAGUUCAAGAGUGCGUGAAAACUGCUCGGGAGGCUAAACGGGUGGGCCCUCGAACUGCUCCGUGGUAGAGAUGAUUUCGGUUCGGAGGAGUUCGGGGCCCGCUCUUGAGAGAACUGGUUCCGUCCAAGGUACUUUUCCUCUUUCGUGCCUGCAUCGAGCUCUUCCGGGUGAAUUCCUUCCGUCUGAGGACAGUACCACCCGGUUGGUAGUAAUCGGCCUGGAAGAAGUCCUACUGCAUGUGUGCACUGGGGUUCCGCUCCGUUGUGUCUAGCCGGCCCUUCCGUGGUGCGAUCCCCGACCGAGGACUACGUCUCCCGUUCGGGAGGCAUGCCGUGCUCUCGCCUGUGCGAGCGGGAAAUCCCGCGGCGAGCGUAUGCGGCUGGCGACAUCGGUCACCUACCCGACCCGUCUUGAAACACGGACCAAGGAGUCUAACAUGUGCGCGAGUCAGUGGGACUCGAUCAAGCCCACGGGCAGAACGAAAGCGAUCUGUCGGGAUCCACGCUUCUUGCGUGGCGCACCGAUGGCCUGGUGCCCGCACGGGCAUCGGAGCAGGAGCGUACACGUUGGGACCCGAAAGACGGUGAACUAUGCCCGGGUAGGAUGAAGCCGGGGGAAACUCCGGUGGAGGUCCGCAGCGGUUCUGACGUGCAAUUCGAUCGUCAAACCCGGGUAUAGGGCAAAAAAAAAUAAAUNAA